AGAAUGAUCAGUCACACUGGAACUGAGACACGGUCCACACUCAUACGGGAGGCAGCAGUGGGGAAUAUUGGACAAUGCGCGAAAGCCUGAUCCAGCCAUGCCGCGUGUGUGAAGAAGGUCUUCGGAUUGUAAAGCACUUUAAGUUGGGAGGAAGGGCAGUAAGUUAAUACCUUGCUGUUUUGACGUUACCAACAGAAUAAGCACCGGCUAACUUCGUGCCAGCAGCCGCGGUAAUACGAAGGGUGCAAGCGUUAAUCGGAAUUACUGGGCGUAAAGCGCGCGUAGGUGGUUCAGCAAGUUGGAUGUGAAAUCCCCGGGCUCAACCUGGGAACUGCAUCCAAAACUACUGAGCUAGAGUACGGUAGAGGGUGGUGGAAUUUCCUGUGUAGCGGUGAAAUGCGUAGAUAUAGGAAGGAACACCAGUGGCGAAGGCGACCACCUGGACUGAUACUGACACUGAGGUGCGAAAAGCGUGGGGGAGCAAACAGGAUUAGAUACCCUGGUAGUCCACGCCGUAAACGAUGUCGACUAGCCGUUGGGAUCCUUGAGAUCUUAGUGGGCGCAGCUAACGCGAUAAGUCGACCGCCUGGGGAGUACGGCCGCAAGGUUAAAAACUCAAAUGAAAUUGACGGGGGCCCCGCACAAGCGGUGGGAGCAUG
rnacentral:rRNA from 1 species